AGGCGCGUUCCGGGGCCCGUCGGAGGAAGGGAAGGCCUGGCUGUCCAGCGAAAUCCUCCUGAACGCACGGACCUCGCGGACCCGACCGGAGCAGCUCUUCAGGCCCUGGCCUGGACCCUUCUCCCAGAGGCACAUGCCCAGGACCCAGCAAUGGCCAAUGGGACCCUGAUGGCCGAGGGCCAGGAAUCAGUGACUUUCAAGGAUGUGGCCGUGGACUUCACCCUGGAGGAGUGGGGCUGGCUGGAGCCUGACCAGAGGGAGCUGUAUCGAGACGUGAUGCUAGAGAACUACCGGAACCUUCUCUCCCUGGGUGAGACCCCUCCUCCUGCCCUCCCCCUGGGGGAGGCCUGAUGCCCCCUGGAUCCCUCUCUGAUGCCCCCAGCACUCUCUCUGAUGCCCCCUGGCACCCCCUUCUCAUUCACGUCCAUCCCCUGCCAUCUGGGGGCCUCUGUGCUCCUCUCGCUGGUCCCUCGUGCCUGGCCUCUCUGUUCCUCUCUUUCUGCCAGCUGAUCCUGGAGUCCCAGCAGCUAGGAAGGCCCAAGUCUCUUGGCCUGUCCUGUAAAAUGUGGAUCCCACACACUCUUCAGCCUGUGCCCCCAGCUUCUUUUUUUUUUUUUUGAGACGGAGUCUCACUCUGUCACCUAGGCAGAAGGGCAGUAGCGUGAUCUCAGCUCACUGCAACCUCCUCCUCCUGAGUUCAAGCAAUUCUCCUGUCUCAGCCUCCCGAGUCGUGGGAUUACAGGCACGCACCACCAUGCCGGCUAAUUUUUGCAUUUUUAGUAGAGACAGGGAGGCUGAGGCAGGAGGCUUACUUGAGGUCAGGAGUUCGAGACCAGCCUGGCCAACAUGGCGAAACCCUAGCUCUACUAAAAAUACAAAAAUUAGUGAGGCGUGGUGACGCACGCCUGUAAUCCCAGCUACUGGGGAAGCUGAGGCACAAGAAUCACUUGAACCCAGGAGGCAGAGGCUGCAGUGAGCUGAAAUCGCAGCAUACACUCUAGCCUGGGUGACAGAGUAAGACUCUGUCUCAAAAAAAGGAUGCCAGUCUCUGGAUUUAGGACUUGCCCUAAUCCAGUAGGACUUCAUCUUAGCUAAUUACAUCAGGAAAGACCCCAUUUCCAAAUAAGGGCACGUUCUGCUGUUCUGGAUGGGCGUAAUUUUUGUGGAACAUCAUUCAACCCAGGAUAGGAGAGGAUAAAUUAGCAAUUCCAUAGACAGCAGGGCUGAUAGGAGGAGCCAAGGCCUUGCCUGUUGAGUGGGUGAGGUGGGGUGAGCUCGGGCGCCAGCAGAAGGGCAGGCCCGGGCCUGGAGCAGGGACGGUUUCCAAGAAACCCAGAGCAGAGGCGGGAUGUAGGAUAGAGAUGUCGGUUCCUUGCCCGGAUGCAUGGUGGGGAAGGUGGAGCUUCUUACACCAAUGGCUUCUUUGAGUGACAAGGGAGAGCCACAGCUGAAAAGAGAGGGUGACGUGUAGCACAGAGCAGGAAGAAAUGACAAAACGAUCAUUUUGGAGAGUGGGGAGAAAACAUACAGUUGUCUGUUGCAAAUUCUGGAUCCAAGCUCCAAGUAAGCCCCUGGUGGAGGCCGGGGGCGGUGGCUCACACCUGUAAUCCCAGCACUUUGGGAGGCCAAAGAGGGCAGAUCACUUGAGGUCAGGAGUUUGAGACCAGCCUGGCCAACAUGGUGAAACCCCGUCUCUAUUAAAAUACGAAAAAUUAGCCGGGUGUGUUGGUGCACACCUGUAGUCCCAGCUGCUCAGGAGGCUUAGGCAGGGGAAUCGCUUGAAUCCGGGAGGCGGAGGUUGCAGUGAGCCGAAAUCACGCCACUGCACUCCAGCCUGAGUGACAGAGACUCCAGACUCAAAAAAAAAAAAAAAAAAA
ensembl:lncRNA